rnacentral:rRNA from 1 species
UACGGAGGGUGCAAGCGUUAUCCGGAUUCACUGGGUUUAAAGGGUGCGUAGGUGGGCAGGUAAGUCAGUGGUGAAAUCUCCGGGUUUAACCCGGAAACUGCCAUUGAUACUAUCAGUCUUGAAUACCGUGGAGGUAAGCGGAAUAUGUCAUGUAGCGGUGAAAUGCUUAGAUAUGACAUAGAACACCAAUUGCGAAGGCAGCUUACUACCCGAAUAUUGACACUGAGGCACGAAAGCGUGGGGAUCAAACAGG